GACGUAGGGCGCGAGCGUUGUCCGGAUUUAUUGGGCGUAAAGAGCUCGUAGGCGGUUCGUCGCGUCGGCUGUGAAAACCCGGAGCUCAACUCCGGGCCUGCAGUCGAUACGGGCGGACUUGAGUGUUGCAGGGGAGACUGGAAUUCCUGGUGUAGCGGUGAAAUGCGCAGAUAUCAGGAGGAACACCGGUGGCGAAGGCGGGUCUCUGGGCCGAUACUGACGCUGAGGAGCGGAAGCGUGGGGAGCGAACGGG
rnacentral:rRNA from 1 species